GAGGAACAGGCCCCUUUGAAAAGCAGUACCUUCUAUCUGCUGUCUGGACAUAUUGUGUCGUCUAGAUACAGUAGUUUUCCUUACAUCACCAACUGAGAACAUCUUUUCAGGACAAUCAGUCAAGGAAAUUAAGGAGACUGCUACCAUUUGUCUGCUUUGGAUGCCAACAUCGAUUACAGAAGGAAUGGAGAUACUUCCUAGUAAGGAAACUUUCAACUGACUGCAGCCUCUCUGUCAAAUCUUCUGGGCCCUCUCAAACAACAGCGAGAGAGGAUGCAUGUCACAGCCAUGGCUUCAGAGACUCGGUACUUGUUAUCUGCCAGACCAGAAUACAGAAGAAAUUCCACCAUGCAAAAGCCUUCCCUGGGAUGUGCUCUGCAGCUGCUCUUCAUUGUCCUCGUCCUUCGAAGUGCACAGGGCUUGUAGUUUCUAUUAGCUGUAAGAGUGUCUGUAAGUACAUGGCACUUCUGAAGAUCAGACAUCAAGUGCCUGUGUUACGAUGCUCCUGCCCUUGUUCCACUCCUGGUGUUUGCUGAUGGAUAAAAGGAUCCCUAGGUAUCCGUGCAGCUGUGAAAAGGUUGUUCCUCCAACACCACCACAGGAAUGCAGAGCAAAUGGCCAUGAGGACCAGGUUCUGAGCCUAGGACCCAAGGCUGUGUGAUCCUGUCAUGGCAACACUUUGCAGUCCAGGUGGCUUCUUAGCUGUGGGGAGGGUUGGUAAUGAAAAGACAUGGGAGAGGGCAGCAGCUGUGACAGUGCAGUCUGAGCUUGCAUGUGGCAGCUGUGACAUGCAGUUUCUUUUCAAUCUGACUAGUUUUCUGCAUAUAGAAAUCCUCAACUAAAUUCCAUUACAAGUCUCCUGGGAGUGGCCUACUUCAGGUCUGCUAUGUAACUGACUGUUUUCCUCUGGGAAAAUGUAACGUAGGAUUUUUCUUACCUGUAUACACUUCCAUGACAUUAUCUAAUGCCUUCUCUAUUCAGAAGCCCCUAUUAAACCCUUCUUGAAAAAGGAAGCUUUCUCUUGAAGGAGCAGACUGGAGGAGCAGAUUGGAAAGAGACAUAACGAUAAACUCACAGAGUCAGACAAACUGUUACUGCAUGAAAAAAGGGUGAGAGGGUUAGAGAGCCCCAUAAAAAGCUUUGGGAAGUCAUAAAAUCUCAUUACCUUAAGUAGAAAACAAAAACAAACAAGCCCCUGGCAGAUGCAGAAACAGAAACCACGACUAGUAAAGGUUAAGAGAUUACUAUUUCAUAAUGGUGGUUCUCCGCCGGUAUAGCAACUAGAUAAGAUGGGGGAAUGUCACGCACACAAAGGCUGCUGUAUUUUACCCUUGGAAAGAUGUCAAGAGGAUCUGCAUAAUACUUUGUACAGACAACCCAGUGAGCAGACCAUGUGCCAAACAGAGAUUUUGAUUUAUAUAUAAAUGAAUAGACAUAUAAAUUUCUCUGCUUUUCAAAGUGAAUCGGAAAAAAAAAAGUAGGAGGUGACUAUCCAGAUUUUCUUGCUGGCUUCCCCUUUCACCCCCAUCCUCCCCAAGUGUGUAAUUUUAAAUCGUUAUUCAUAUUCCUAGGGAUGAAAUUCAGGAAUGUUCUCGGGAUGUGCGGCAAUUUACGGCGUGUUUGCGGAGCGUUUGCAGUACUUCCCCGUGUCAAUUAAAGACAAGCCACGAACGCCUUCAGCGGAAAAACCCACGCCACGGUCCCCGAUGUUUAUUUCACGCUCCCUUAGCGCGUUUCCAUGC